CUUAAAAUUGUGUUAUGUUAUUCAUAUUGGUUGUCGUCGCUGAUAUAACCUGUUACCUAAUUCCAUCCACAAAUGUAAUAUCUGUGUACCUUGUCUCAGACAGUCGGUUAAAAAGCAAAGACAGCCUUCAUUUUGUAAUGCUUAUGUCAUGCUGCACGCGCACGCUAGGUUUACAGUUCAGGUGAUAACCAUGUGAAUGAAGCUGCAGAAGAAGGUGUUUCGCAAACUUGUCAAAUUACUAUCACGAAAUUAAGCACAAAUACAGACCUUUGCUAAUGGUCAAGAUGAUUAACAAAACAAACCAAAAAAAAAAAAAAAAAAAAAAAAAUGAGCAAACGUUACUUGGUCAGGUCUGCGAUGCAUACUUUUUCUACAAUGCGGAUACGAAUACGUCUUGGUCUGGAAUUUUAUUGUGUGUCUUUACGAUGGGGAGUCAUGACGAAGAGGACAUUGUGAAAUUAAGAAAACAAGAUGUCGUCACUUACGGAAAUUGAGUUAAACUGAGUAGACUAUCUGUUAAAUAUUUAUAACUCGUAUUUAUGACGUUGUUAUCCUUUUAAAUUUAGUUUAUACCUGAGUGAUGUGCAGCAUAUUUUUCAUAUAUGUACACUGCAUUUUUUUUUUUUUUUUUUUUAAAGUUCAGUAUGUAUGUGGUUUAGGCUACAUGCCUAAAGUUCCUAAUUUCUGCGCGAGUUUGAUCAACCGGUAUUGAAAUGCGACAGCGCAGGCCUGUGUUUCCAGGCGUGUCCCAUGUUGAUCUGAUCCCUUCAGUGCACUACAACUGUGCAGGAGCCAGCAGCUGCUUAGUAAUGAAUAUCAAGGAGUGAAAUGUAGGCUGGGCUAAAACAGAGGAAGGAAAGCCAUGCAAGAACUAAAGGAAAGGAAACUUCAGAACUUGCUGUAAACAAGAACAGAUGACAUGCAUUAUCCAAUCCUUGCUCAAGAACACCACUUUUCAUAUAAUUUGCCUUGUGGGUGGCGAUUAUUAUCAACCCUAGUGCCAACAUAAAAUGUAACGUGGUACUACUGGCACCAUUGUCUUGAGAGUUCCAGAUUGAAUGGAUUGUAGUAUAUGGCCAUCUUCUCCAUGACUUCUGUAUCUGACCACUACACAACAGACUGCUGCAUUUGUAAAAACAGUCAGCCUGAUAUAAUUAAGCUGUAGCUGCAGGGGACAUCACAUAUACAAGUAGAUAACAUUCUGAUGGGGAUACAGUCUGAUGUGUAAUCAAGGACUUUAUACCAAACAGUUGUCUCCAAGUACACUAUAUUCACACAGUACUUAAAGCUGUUAUAUGACAAAGGUUUUGGUAUUCCCUCAUUUUGAAGUCUUAGUUUUAAUAAAAAAUAGAAAGUACUGCUUCCAUUGCAGUAAGUAACAGGCUGUUGCUAUGCUGUCAAUCACCCCUUUUUGACAUUUAUUCAGACUGCACCAUGUCAUUUUAUCACAGUGAAUUGCACUUGACUUAUAAUGGAAUGUACUGCACAAAAGUAAAACAAACUACAAUUAUAGUGCAUAUAUUCGGCUGAUUUUCUUAUAUUGAAACAAAGCAGCACAGCCACAAUAUCUUUUCUAGGCUGCUGGUAAAGAAACCAGAACCAGUCUAGAACAGUUUAAUUAAUUUCAUCUCUGAAUGCAUACCUUUUCAGGGGCAUCUAUUUUAGUAUCAGGGAUUGGCACUACUGCUCUUCAGAUAUUGGGCCCUAUUCUCAAUGCUCCUUACUCCCCAUCAUGAGCACCAAACCAAAUAAAAACAGCUCACGCGUUAGAUUAAGAUACUUGCGUCAUAUGCUUCUAAUUCGUUUUAGAAUUGAUAAAGGGUUUUCUCCUUUAACAUUUGAGGCUCUUGCCUGCUCUCUUCACAUUUGGCAGGUAAUUUCCCCCCUUGCUAGAUACCAUGUCUAAUUUAUAAUUGCACUGCUACUUUUUGUAGCUUUUGAUUUGCGAUGUAAUACACUUUUUGUAUUCAUUGCCGUGCAGGCUGUUCUUUAUUGUUUUAACUGCUGCCUAAUGUAUGCAUGGAUUCAAGGUGGGUUCCUCUCCAAAUUAACAACCUGUAAAUAACACAGUACUUAAACCUUCUAUUUUUAAAUGUUCUCUUUAAAUUACAGUGUAUCUAUUUUAAGAACUGCUAUUGUAAUUUGAUGGGUUUCCUAUACACCUCCACAGCAGAGCUUCUUAUGUUUUGCCUUCAUUACACACAAUAUUUAAGGGUAUGUUUCUCUAUUGUUGGUGUUCCCGUAAUGUUUUGUGUGUGCACAGCUUUGUCUAAAAUGUAGCCUUGUUUAGCUUCUUAUUUCAGCCUUGAUUAUAGUUAUCAUAAUCUGCCCAGAACUGUAGCCAAAAGUCCUGCAUGUGACAUUCAGAGGCCUCCCUGUUCAUUUCCUUUUGUUCUGUUCUGACAGAGCCUUUGAGAGAUGCGGUUAAUCUGGCAACCAGUGCCUGAGAAUGACAAAACACACUGAAGAGAACUUCUCAUUGUUAAGAGGCUGGGCUUUGAAUUUAGUGCAGCUUCAACAGAAGUCUGAUUUAGAUACUGUACAGUAGUGUACAAAUCUAUAAGAACAUUUGAAUGUUUAUGUACAGAGCUGAAGUCUGGGUAAGUUUGAAUUGUUCAUGCUGUGGCAACUGCAAAACAAAAAGUACUUGUGUUGUGAACUGCUCAUAAACUACAGAUAGAUAUCUAAAACCACCAGCCUCCAUGUUAAAAAAAUGCAAUAACAGUAUAGCUGUAGUUUGUCAAAUAAUAAGCCACUGUCUGUCACCUUGCAAUCGAUUUUCAGCAAAUUAAAUUAAAGUCAAAAACACAAUUCCCGGCAAAGAAAUGGUGGACAUCUUCCCCUUUCUCAGAUUUUCAUGAACUCUUGCUUUAGACAGCUCACUUCUCAGAUCUUGAAGUUCUAGAACAGGAUGUUCAUUUGCAUUAUAUUCGCAUUGAUAUUUAGAUGGUACUUUUGUAAUUAUUAUUUUGCCCUUGUUUAGUGUUCAGUUCAUUGUUCAAGAUGCAGUGUGAUACUGAGUGAUGGUCUCUGUGUUUCUCACACUGUUAAAGGUGCACAGGGGGGAUUCAGCUUAGGGGUGGCCACCCACUGACACAUGAAUAGCUGCUAUUUCGCAAACCUGUCCUAGAAGACAAGCAGCAGCAAAGGCUUCUCUGUGCUAAGCCAUUCAAAAUAUUUCUACAAAGAGGUUCUUCUGCCAUGGAGUAUACAUAAAAGCAUUUUCCUCCUAAAGAUCAUGUUAUUUGAUUAUAUUUUAUUUAAUUUGACAUUCAUUAAGUUUUCUGUUUCAGAGCAACACUUCUGUGAACUGAUGAACAUCUGAACUGACGAAUUACAAUUUGAUAGAAGAACAGUGUACAGCAUGACAGCAUCACCCGAUAGCAUUGCUAGUCAGGACACAUGGCGGACUCAUCAGAUCUGUGUCUUGAUCCUGAAGAAGCUGCUGACUUCAUUGUUUGUUCAGCCCUCAGUGCUGAUGAGUUACAGCAUUAGCUAGUCUGUAUUGACUCGAACGGACGGUUAUGAACUGUGGCUCAGCAAAAACAUUACCUUGAUGUCUUGUCUCAGAGUCAGAUAAUGGGCCCUUUUCACUAAGCUUUAACUUGUGGGUUAUUUGACAGUUGCAUUGUUUGAUAUUCAUGAAACCUGUAUAGUCAAGUAGCCAACGACAGUCCAGAACAUCUUUGUGACUAAGUGGAUUCUUUAUAAGUCAUGAGUUAAGUCUAUAUGAAGAGUGUGCAAUAUUUAUUGAUUUGUGUUUAAUUUUAUAGUUUUCCAAAAUGUUCCUUGUUUCUCAAAGUUAAUUAUUAAUGAUAUUUUGCUUUAUAGAUACACUGUACUGUAUUUGUUAUAUAAACAGAAUAGUACACGAAUAUGUGGUUAUUCCAUGAAUGAGGAUUGAUGAGGGGUUGUUUGCGACCAUCCUGUGAUCCAUAAUCACAGCAUGCCAUGCAGACUCCUGGAGUGUUCUGGUCCUAUAAUAAGUACAAUGAAUGGAACAGAAAGUAUGUUUAAACAUAAUUGAACCAGCUGAAUUCAGGAAAUACAUCCCUUAAAUCACGCUCUGUAUCUGCUAAGCAAUGCAGUGCAAUUUGGAACAGUGUGAUUCGACCCUGCCACUCUGAUGUUGAAUUAGAAAAUAUGUUAUAUGAGAGAGAGCGAGAGACCUAAAAUAGAAAUAUAGAUUAAUUUCUUACAAGUGAAUUAGGAAAACACCUUUGUAAUUUGGGCAAUUUCGGGUAUACCCAGGUAUAGGCAUUCCAAUUAUGGACUUGUUCUAUGAGUCAUUUUAUAAUCUUUGUGUUGCUUUCAGUAAACACAAAUGCUUCUUAUCAGCCCUAGAAAAAGCCCCUUUCCAAUUACCACAGGCAUGCGUUGGCUUCCACGUUAAAUUGCUACAUUCCCCAUGUUAUUUGAUUAAGGGAUUAAAUCUGAAGGGAUUAGAGUGUCAUUUUAAAGGUGAUGUAUACUUCCUUGUGCUGAUCAGUGCAUAGACUAUAGACACAGUCUUAAGAGCUUCAGUAAUAGUGGUUUUAAAAGCCAGCAUAACGUGUAUUGAAUACUAUAUACCUCAUUAAGUAAUAGUAUUAUAAACAUAUCUGAUUGGCAUAACACAAUAGUUACCUUG